UGGGGUUUGAUAAAAGAUUGGAUAGGGUUUCUAUAGGUGUUGAUUUUGGGUGAUUUCGAUUUGUAUUGACUUUGUAAUAGCUUUGAAAAGUCAAGGUUUGUUGUGGAUGAUUUAGAUUUUAUGAAAUAAAAUAUGGUUUAUGUUUUGGAUGGUUUCAAGAGUUUUGUUAUAGAUCUAUGGGUGGAAUUUUGUGGAUUUAUGCUUAUAUUUGUGUUUAAUAUGAGUCGUGAAUUUGA
rnacentral:lncRNA from 1 species